rnacentral:rRNA from 1 species
AACGAACGCUGGCGGCAUGCCUAACACAUGCAAGUCGAACGAGACCUUCGGGUCUAGUGGCGCACGGGUGCGUAACGCGUGGGAACCUGCCCUUAGGUUCGGAAUAACUCCCCGAAAGGGGUGCUAAUACCGGAUAAUGUCUUCGGACCAAAGAUUUAUCGCCUUUGGAUGAGCCCGCGUUGGAUUAGCUAGUUGGUAGGGUAAAAGCCUACCAAGGCGACGAUCCAUAGCUGGUCUGAGAGGAUGAUCAGCCACACUGGGACUGAGACACGGCCCAGACUCCUACGGGAGGCAGCAGUGGGGAAUAUUGGACAAUGGGCGAAAGCCUGAUCCAGCAAUGCCGCGUGAGUGAUGAAGGCCUUAGGGUUGUAAAGCUCUUUUACCCGGGAUGAUAAUGACAGUACCGGGAGAAUAAGCGCCGGCUAACUCCGUG